GACGUAGGGCGCAAGCGUUGUCCGGAUUUAUUGGGCGUAAAGAGCUCGUAGGCGGCUCGUUGCGUCGGCUGUGAAAACCCGCAGCUCAACUGUGGGCUUGCAGCCGAUACGGGCAGACUUGAGGUAUGCAGGGGAGAAUGGAAUUCCUGGUGUAGCGGUGAAAUGCGCAGAUAUCAGGAGGAACACCGGUGGCGAAGGCGGUUCUCUGGGCAUUACCUGACGCUGAGGAGCGAAAGUGUGGGGAGCGAACAGG
rnacentral:rRNA from 1 species